GAGGGAGAGAGAAACAGAGAGAGAAUGUAGGUAAAGAGGGAGAGAGAAACAGAGAGAGAGGGAGAGAGAAACAGAGAUAACAGAGAGAGAGGGAGAGAGAAACAGAGAGAGAAUGUAGGUAGAGAUAAACAGAGAUAACAGAGAGAGAGGGAGAGAGAAACAGAGAGAGAAUGUAGGUAGAGAUAAACAGAGAUAACAGAGAGAGAGGGAGAGAGAAACAGAGAGAGAAUGUAGGUAGAGAUAAACAGAGAUAACAGAGAGAGAGGGAGAGAGAAACAGAGAGAGAAUGUAGGUAGAGAUAAACAGAGAUAACAGAGAGAGAGGGAGAGAGAAACAGAGAGAGAAUGUAGGUAGAGAUAAACAGAGAUAACAGAGAGAGAGGGAGAGAGAAACAGAGAGAGAGGGAGAGAUAAACAGAGAGAACAGAGAGAGAGGGAGAGAGAAACAGAGAGAGAAUGUAGGUAGAGAUAAACAGAGAGAACAGAGAGAGAGGGAGAGAGAAACAGAGAGAGAAUGUAGGUAGAGAUAAACAGAGAUAACAGAGAGAGAGGGAGAGAGAAACAGAGAAAGCACAUGCUUUCUCUGUUUAUCAGAAUGAAUGUUUUCUUCUGUAAUAUGUGACUCCUUUUUUGUUUUAGUAUAGGUUUAGAGUUUUGAAUUACAUCAAAAUAAAAAGUACAAUCAUUGGUAUAAAUGUGCAACAAUAUGGAGACAUAGGGAGGGACAUGGACCAAGGUGUGGAAUGAUGAUGAUGAGAACAGGGUGACAACUUAUCUAAAGAUGGAUCACAGCCUAACUUCCACUUAAGUAAAAUUACCACUUAUUCAUUUAUUAAUGUCAAUGGGAGACUGGGUGACAAUUUGGCUUGAGGAUUGACCCCUUAGUUUAUACAUGGUCUAACCGGAGGUGGCAUUAGUUUUACAUGACACUAAGUUCCUGGAGUGACAGUCAGUGCAGAUGGAGCCAAACUAUCUGACUUAAGACCAUUCAAACGUAUGUAUUUGAAAUCGGAGACUCAAGUACUAUUCUACAUUUCAAAUGAGUCAUUGAAUUUGUGACUAAAGCUUUGGGUUGGUGGACCAGCAGAGCUCCUUACCCUGUGGAUGCAGGAAAAACAAGUGUUGGAUCAAUGACUUCUUCUAACAGCCCUGCUGACUAGUAGAGCGAACAAGCAUCUCUCUGCUGGAGUUCUUACUUAGAGUCUGUAUCACCAAUGGCACACUAUUCUCUAUAUAGUGCACUACUUUCAACCAGAGACUCGGUUUAGUCUGGUAUAAAGGGGAGAGGGUAUCAUUUGGGAGUCACACAGUGACACAGCUGUUACAGUCACCCUUUACAGGCUAGUUUAAACAGCCUGUUGCGAGUCUAAAACCGCACACCUUUUGCGUAACCCUUUAC
ensembl:lncRNA